rnacentral:rRNA from 1 species
UACGUAGGGUGCAAGCGUUAAUCGGAAUUACUGGGCGUAAAGCGUGCGCAGGCGGUAAUGUAAGACAGUUGUGAAAUCCCCGGGCUCAACCUGGGAACUGCAUCUGUGACUGCAUUGCUGGAGUACGGCAGAGGGGGAUGGAAUUCCGCGUGUAGCAGUGAAAUGCGUAGAUAUGCGGAGGAACACCGAUGGCGAAGGCAAUCCCCUGGGCCAUAACUGACGCUGAGGCGCGAAAGCUAGGGGAGCAAACAGG